rnacentral:rRNA from 1 species
AGGGAGGUCAACCUGAAGUCCACCGAAACGCCCGCGCGGAAUCCCCCGGGAUGAAGCGCGGAUGACUGAGUGGCGGACGGGUGAGUCACGCGUGGGCAACCUGCCCCGUGCCGGGGGACAACAGCCGGAAACGGCUGCUAAUACCGCAUGAUCCGGGAGGGCCGCAUGGCCCUGCCGGGAAAGCUCCGGCGGCACGGGAUGGGCCCGCGUCUGAUUAGUUUGUUGGCGGGGUAACGGCCCACCAAGACUGCGAUCAGCAGCCGGCCUGAGAGGGCGGCCGGCCACAUUGGGACUGAGACACGGCCCAGACUCCUGCGGGAGGCAGCAGUGGGGAAUAUUGCACAAUGGGGGAAACCCUGAUGCAGCGACGCCGCGUGGGCGGCGAAGCGCUCCGGCGCGUAAAGCCCUGUCAGCAGGGAAGAAAAAAGACAGUACCUGACCAAGAAGCCCCGGCUAACUAUGUGCCAGCAGCCGCGGUAAUACGUAGGGGGCAAGCGUUAUCCGGAUUCACUGGGCGUAAAGGGAGCGCAGGCGGCACGGCAAGUCUGGUGUGAAAGCCCGGGGCCCAACCCCGGGACUGCAUUGGAAACUGCCGGGCUGGAGUGCCGGAGGGGUAAGCGGAAUUCCUGGUGUAGCGGUGAAAUGCGCAG